ACAUCCCACCAAUGAAAGGAUUCAAAACUCCAGGAAGAUAGGAUGAAACCAGCAAAUUGUCUCCUCCUGCAUCCAAAUCUCUCAGCUGCUGGUUUGUGGCAAAACAGUGGCAGGAAUUAUUUCCAGAGAAUUCAUCGGAUGCUUCAACCCUCCUGAAGGACUACAGGCAUCCUCUGAAGUCUCUCUCCGGGGAAACUCAUCCUAUCUGGACCCUACUGUGCUGCAGCCUCCCGGCCCCGUGGAGGGGGUGUUAAUGCCUAAAAUCCUUGGCAGGUCCCAGCCAGUGUUGUGCACGUCGCCCACCCGCUACGGGAGGAGUCUGAAGUCUGCAGGCCCCCCAAAGGCAGUCUCUUGUGGGUAUCGCCCCGUACCCACUGGCAGAUGGAUGGAUCAAGAAAAGAGUCCGUGCACACAACGGGAUAGUGUUCAGCCUUAAAAAGGAAGGAGGUUCUGACUUCUGUGACAUCGUGGAUGAGCCCUGAGAACACUGUGCUCAAAAACCCAGACACGGAACAGAUACUGCGUGAUUCCACAUGUGUGAGGAACCGGGAGUAGUGCCGUCACCACCGAGGUUGGGGGCAGGGAAUGGAGCGUGUUCGUGAGGACAGAGUUCCACUUUGGCAGGCUCGAGAGCGGAAGGACGGACGGGGUCACAGGAACACAGCGUGAGGACAGUAAUGCUACGGAACUGCACAUCUGAGCUGUGUAACGUGGCACAUUUCAUGUUAGAUAGACUUUAUCACAACUGAAGUUAAAAAAAACCUCACAAAUCGUUCUAAGAAAAAUUACGCAGAUCAUAGGAAAGGAGUCAGUGUCCAAAAGACUUUUAAAAUCCCUUUAGACGGUCAUUCAAGUUCCCCUUUGAGAACUGACCAUUAAAACAGCAUCUGCUCUUUGCA